GAAGGGGUAGCGAGAGAGAAGAGAGGAGGGGUAGAGAGAAAGAGGGGGUAGCGAGAGAGAAGAGGGGUAGAGAGAAAGAAGGGGUAGCGAGAGAGAAGAGAGGAGGGGUAGAGAGAAAGAGGGGGUAGCGAGAGAGAAGAGGGAGGGGGGUAGAGAGAAAGAGGGGGUAGCGAGAGAGAAGAGAGAGAGAGGAGGGGUAGAGAGAAAGAAGGGAGAGAGGAGGGGUAGAGAGAGAGAAGAGAGAGAGAAGGGGUAGAGAGAAAGAGUGGGUAGCGAGAGAGAAGAGAGAGAGGGGGUGGGGUAGAGAGAGAGAAGAGAGAGAGGAGGGGUAGAGAGAAAGAGGGGGGUAGAGAGAGAGAAGAGAGAGAGGAGGGGUAGAGAGAAAGAGUGGGUAGUGAGAGAGGGGGGUAGAGAGAGAGAAGAGAGAGAGAAGGGGGUGGCGAGAGAGAAGCGCGAAAAGAGAGAGAAAGUGACAGGACAACCAGAGGGGGGCACUGUAGGGCCGUCACUUCUCUCUCCUCUUCUCUGCACAGACAGUUUAACAAAUGUGGGUGGCAAACUCAGAGACAUGUCCUCUCUCUCUC
ensembl:lncRNA